AAACAAAAAUUAUUUUGGCAGUAAAGUUGGAAUAAUACAGAGAAGAUUAGCAUGCGCCCUGUGCAAGAAUGACAUGCAAAUUCAUGAUGCAUUCCAUUAUCUU
rfam:Octopus bimaculoides Scaffold60624_contig_71, whole genome shotgun sequence.